AUACUCUGGUUUCUCUUCAGAUCGAUUAAAUCUUUUGCUUUUUUCUAAAGAUUUACGUGGAGAAGAACAACCAUGAGUUUAAAAAAAAAUUAAAGUUUUUUUUUAACUAAGGUU